rnacentral:lncRNA from 1 species
CCGCAUCCUGAGCCUCUGCAUUCUGCACAGCGGGGCGGGCGCAGGCAGCACGGUGCCCCUUACCAUGCUUUCUUCCUGGACUUUCCCUUGACCAGUCUUGGCACGGCAGGCGAGGGAUUGAGGGAUUGGGGCUGGGAGGUGGGGAAGACAGCUCUCUCCCUGGGCCCAUGUCUGGUUAGAUCAAUGCUGUGGGAGCUUAGCGAUCGAAGAGGGAGCAGAGAUGACGGCGGGACGGCAUUGUCUGCCCAAGCCUCAGGCUUCGCAGCCCAGGCUGGGACCAAGAGCUUACAGACGUCAUCGAGUGCAGAUUUUGAGCGACGUACUGAGCAUUGUAAAUCCAGAUUUCUCUUCCAGAGCUGAGUCUGGGCCACAGGACCUGGACACAGGAGGGUCAGUCUUUCCGGUAAUGGUGAGGGUCUGUCUUCUUGGAGCAGCACAGCGGACUCCCACCAGGACAGUGGAUGCUGGGUACGGAAGGGCUGGGCUGAGGACAGUGGAUGCUGGGUACCGAAGGGCUGGGCUGAGGGGGUCACUUUGGCAGUGGUUCUGGAGUCUAAAUUUCUAAGGGCCUGGAACUCAGGAGACUCUAGAUGCUGAUUCUUUUCUGGAGAACUUCUCCAGAGUCACCAUCCUGGCUUGUGCAGACUCAACAUUCCACCUGAAGAGCUCUGGGAACCUCUGGGGCUGGGAGCCUUCUGGGCCUGAUGAGUUCUGUUGGGAUGGAGAAGAUGAUCUUGAAGUUAAAGAUUUCAGUGGGAGUCCAGGAAAACGUCGCAGCUGUCCAUCAUACCCACAACAGCAAACGACUCAGGACUUUGCCAAGGUCACUGCGGCAGCCAAAACCACAGCUGUGAUCUGGGGCCGGACUCAUACCCAGGGGUUGUCUGGGUUCAGGUUCUGCACCCCCGGUUCAGAGAAAGAGGAAACGGAGUGGGCCGUGUGGACCCC